GGACAGAAGAAGAAGAAGAAGACGAAGAACAACAACGAUGGUGGCUACUUGAAGGCCCCUUUACUGCAGCUGUCUGUGGGCUGCAGUUCCCGCUUAAAAAGGAGACGAAGACAUGCAGCAGCUUUGGCUUCCGGUCCGAGAAAACAUGGUGCUUGGUAGGAAACCCCAGAGAGAGGAGCUCUGUUGCGUAGCUGCUGAAGCAUCCGUACCUCCGGCUGAAGCCACGUUAUCUCCUGAUCCAGGUACAGAUGAGGAAAGUAAAAGGAUUGAUGUUGUUUGGUGCCAACAACACGCAUUGUCUACAGUCCGAACGGCAACCGUAAGAGGAUCCUAACAGACCUGCCAACCUCUCAGCCUACGAGCAGCAGAAUCCUCUGAGCAGCUGAUAAUUUGGCCAGAACUGUACAGCAGCAGCAGAAGAAGAGGCUGGAUGUCACAGAGUGUACAUAGACCAAUCGCAUCCUGUUUCUGCUCACAUGCUCGCCCUCAGCUGCACUUCACUCCACCCACUACCUUCUCCGUGUCAGAGAAGGAAGUCAAUAGACUGUUUCAGUGGCAGGAACCCUGUAAAGCAGCUGAGCCGGACUAUGUCUCCCCAUCCGCCCUGAAGCGCUGUGCUGAUCGGCUGUCUCCGGUGUUCGCAGACAU